rnacentral:rRNA from 1 species
GAUGAACGCUGGCGGCGUGCCUAACACAUGCAAGUCGAACGAGAUGCGUAUUGGAAAGCUUCGGCCGGAAGAUGCGUUAUCUAGUGGCGGACGGGUGAGUAACACGUGGGUAACCUGCCUUAUGGAGGGGGAUAACAGAGAGAAAUCACUGCUAAUACCGCAUAAGCACACAUUGCCGCAUGGCAGAGUGUGAAAAGAUUUAUCGCCAUAAGAUGGACCCGCGUCUGAUUAGCCAGUUGGCAGGGUAAAAGCCUACCAAAGCAACGAUCAGUAGCCGAUCUGAGAGGAUGACCGGCCACAUUGGGACUGAGACACGGCCCAAACUCCUACGGGAGGCAGCAGUGGGGAAUAUUGCACAAUGGGGGAAACCCUGAUGCAGCGACGCCGCGUGAGUGAAGAAGUAUUUCGGUAUGUAAAGCUCUAUCAGCAGGGAAGAUAAUGACAGUACCUGACUAAGAAGCCCCGGCUAACUACGUG